rnacentral:rRNA from 1 species
GGUCAUAGUGAUCCGGUGGUUCUGAAUGGAAGGGCCAUCGCUCAACGGAUAAAAGGUACUCCGGGGAUAACAGGCUGAUACCGCCCAAGAGUUCAUAUCGACGGCGGUGUUUGGCACCUCGAUGUCGGCUCAUCACAUCCUGGGGCUGAAGUAGGUCCCAAGGGUAUGGCUGUUCGCCAUUUAAAGUGGUACGCGAGCUGGGUUUAGAACGUCGUGAGACAGUUCGGUCCCUAUCUGCCGUGGGCGCUGGAGAAUUGAGGGGGGCUGCUCCUAGUACGAGAGGACCGGAGUGGACGCAUCACUGGUGUUCGGGUUGUCAUGCCAAUGGCACUGCCCGGUAGCUAAAUGCGGAAGAGAUAAGUGCUGAAAGCAUCUAAGCACGAAACUUGCCCCGAGAUGAGUUCUCCCUGACUCCUUGAGAGUCCUGAAGGAACGUUGAAGACGACGACGUUGAUAGGCCGGGUGUGUAAGCGCAGCGAUGCGUUGAGCUAACCGGUACUAAUGAACCGUGAGG